ACACCAAAAUGUCAGGGGUCAGAGGUCAAGAUGGACUCCAGUGCAGGGGCAGCCAGUGGGAAGACCAGUGUGGAUGGAGGUUGACGCUCUGUCCUGUGUUCAUUUAUGUGGUUUUCCAGAAUGUCCAGAGGCUGACAGUGGGGAAGACCAGUAUGGAUGAGGAGGUGGAAUGGAGCUUGGAUGCUCACUCCUGUCUCUCUUUUCCCUAAUUUUCCAGAGUCCAGAGGCUGCCAGUGGUAAGAUGGGUAUGGAAGAGGUGUUGGGAUUGACAUCGGACUAUAUUUUCCUUAAUUUUCCAGGCUGGCCAGAGGCCGAUAGUGGGAAGACGGGAUGUCCAGAGAAGUCAGUGGGAACACCAGUGUGGAUGAAGCGUUGGGAUGGAGGUUGACACUCUGUCCUGUGUUCAUUUCUGUAGUUUUCCAGAAUGUCCCGAGGCCGACAGUGGGAAGAUGGUAUGUAUGAGGAGUUGGGAUAGAGGUUAGCUGCUCUGUUUUUUUUCCCUUCUUUACCAGGAGAAGUGCAGAGGCUGACAUUGUGGAAGACAUGUACAUAUGAAGAUUGAACCCUGUCCCGAGUUCUUUUCCCUAAUUUUCCGGGAUGUUCACAAGCAGACAGUCGAGAGGCAGGUGUGGUGUUGGGACUGAUGCUGAACUCUCUCUGCUGUAUAAUUUUCCAGCUGACCAGAGGCGGCCAGUGGGAAGACGGGUGUUGUUGGGAUAGAGGUUAGAUGUUCACUCCUUUUAAUCUUUUCCUUCACUUUCUAGGAUGUCCAGAAAAUUAAAACCCUCUCCCGUCUCUAUUUUCCGGGUUGGCCAGAGACUACCAGUUGGAAGAUGGGUAUGGCUGGGAGUUGGGAUGGAGCAGUGAAGAAACCUUUACUUGUUCCUUUGUGGCCUACACAUCCUGAUGUAUCUCCCUACUUGAGCUGUUGUAAGACAUGGACUGCUGUACUGAACUGUCACUUGUACAAUGUUGUAACAGUCACCUUCUGUCCUGUAUCUCAGUGUCACACUCAGAUUUCUGAAACUGUCCCCUGUACUCUAGGGUGUAAUACUCAGACCUAUGUACUGUGCUGUUAUGUGAACUGUCACCUGGAGUGUUGUACUAAACUGUCAUUGUACAAUGUUGUAAUACUCAGCCCUCUGUACUGUAUUUCAGUGUAAGACUCAGCCUUGUCCUACUUUGACACCUGUACUCUAUUGUAAUAUUCAGACUUAAGUACUGUUUUGAACUGUCCCCUGGGUUGUUGUAUUACUCAGACCUGCGGCCUGUGUUCUGAACUGUUAUCUGUAUUAUGUUGUAAUACUGAGAGCUGUGUACCUUAUGGUGUUGUAACUGAUAGACUGCUGUUCUGAACUGUCCCUUGUACACUGUUGUAACAAUCACCCUCUGUACUGUAUUGCAGUGUAACAUAUAUUUCUGUCCCAAAAUGUCACCUUUACUUGAUUGUAAUACUCAGCCAUGUGUACGGUCUUCUAACUGUUUUCUCUAUUGUAAUAUUGAGAGUUGUGUGUUGUAAUAGAUGGUCUGCUGUACUAAACUGGCACUUUGUUGUAGUGGUGGUGUUGUAUUUCAGUAUAAGAGAUGGUUUGUAGACAAUUUAAAAAUAUCUGUACUUGCUUGUAGUACUCAACCGUGUGUACUGUACUCCACUGUGCUCUGUUACUAAUAUUGUUGUAAUACAGGCUGGGGCCAGAGUAUUAUGCUCAGUUUUUGUCUAAAACAAUUACCUUUACUGUAAUAUUCAGAUUUGUGUACUGUGAUAUGAAUUUCUAUUAUGCUGUUGUAAUACAGUCCAGGGUCCUGUGCUGCAGACUUCUGUCCCAUAGUGUCAAUUGUACAUGAGGGUGGUAGUCAAACAUGUGUAAUGUACUGUGCUCAGUAGUAGUGUUGUAAUACCCUCAGCUGGGUACAGGAGUGUGAAAUAUCACCUUGAUUCUG